AACACACAUCAACACUCAAAGGUAAAAUAGAGAUUGAGAUGCGUAAGAGGCAGUGAGAGAACAAAGCGAAAGCGACUGCAAUAAGUGAGAAUAGAGAGGAUACAAAGGAAUGAUAGAAGAUAGAGAGCUAAAAUAGAGAUUAAUAAGAUAAGAUUAAAUUUAAGCCGUUAGGCAUGCAGUGCAUAAGCUAUGGGGUCAACCCGGAAUGGAAAGUAGGCACUUGCCACCAUAUCGAGCCUGGAGCACGAGCAAACCCACACGUAAACGAAACUUAUGAGCAGAUGCAAUAAACAGAUAAUAGAAGAAAUGAGCCAGAGACUGAAAGAUAAAGAGGAUGAGAAAGAAACCAUCAAAGCAAAGGAAUACGCAAAUGAUUUAAGGUUCAACAAUACAGUAAGACCAGCAAUAUUAAGUCAGAUGGAGCACUGGACAAGAAAAACAAAACCUGCGUGGAAACAGCCGACAAAGUUAUAGAACUCCUCAAUCGACAAAUCCCGGACCUAAAACUAAGUUGCGACGACAUUGACAUUGCUCAUAGGAUUGGGCCUUCCAAUUUUCGAAAAAGCCGACCGAUAAUCAUGAAAAUAAUCUCGAGAAUGACAAAAUCCCAAGUAAUGAUAAACGCCAAAGCCUUACGUACAAUUAAAGACCCAGUGUAUGUGAAUGACCACGUAAUAAAGCUUAUUCUUCACUACUUGCUUGUGUUAGGAAAAAGCAGAGAUACAUUGUCGUGUCGACCUGGUCACGCGAGGGAAAUGUGUACUACCGUGACGUAAACGAGAUAGUACACAAAGUCAACCAACUACUACUACUACUACUAUUACUACUACUACUACUACUACUACUACUACUACUACUACUACUACUACUACUACUACUACUACUACUACUACUACUACUACUACUAGUAGUACUACCACUUCUUCUA